CCAGACUCCUACGGGAGGCAGCAGUGGGGAAUAUUGCACAAUGGGGGAAACCCUGAUGCAGCGACGCCGCGUGAAGGAAGAAGUAUUUCGGUAUGUAAACUUCUAUCAGCAGGGAAGAAAAUGACGGUACCUGACUAAGAAGCCCCGGCUGACUACGUGCCAGCAGCCGCGGUAAUACGUAGGGGGCAAGCGUUAUCCGGAUUUACUGGGUGUAAAGGGAGCGUAGGCGGUUUAGCAAGUCAGAAGUGAAAGCCCGGGGCUCAACUCCGGGACUGCUUUUGGAACUGCGUGGCUGGAGUGCAGGAGGGGCAGGCGGAAUUCCUGGUGUAGCGGUGAAAUGCGUAGAUAUCAGGAGGAACACCGGUGGCGAAGGCGGCCUGCUGGACUGCAACUGACGUUGAGGCCCGAAAGCGUGGGGAGCAAACAGGAUUAGAUACCCCCGUAUA
rnacentral:rRNA from 1 species